UACGUAGGGGGCAAGCGUUGUCCGGAUUUAUUGGGCGUAAAGAGCGUGUAGGCGGCUUUACAGGUCCGUUGUGAAAACUCGAGGCUCAACCUCGAGACGCCGGUGGAAACCGUAAAGCUAGAGUCCGGAAGAGGAGAGUGGAAUUCCUGGUGUAGCGGUGAAAUGCGUAGAUAUCAGGAGGAACACCGGUGGUGUAGACGGCUCUCUGGACCAUAACUGACGCUGAGACACGAAAGCGUGGGUAGCAAACAGG
rnacentral:rRNA from 1 species